CAAUUGCAUCAGGAAUCCCAAAUGGGUACCAACCGAGAGAACAUACUCCACGGUGGUAAAACGAUGCGGACCGGAAGGUCAAAAUAAAAGUAAUCU
rnacentral:ncRNA from 10 species